AGAAGUUACAAAACACUUAUUCCCGAUAGGAUUCACAUCAGGUGAAAAUGCCUUGUAACCAAAAUAAUAUGAACAAUUGGGGGAAAUUUAUACCAUG
rnacentral:sRNA from 2 species